GUGCUCGCUUCGGCAGCACAUAUACUAAAAUUGGAACAAUACAGAGACGAUUAGCAUGGCCCCUGCACAAGGAUGACAUGCAAAUUCGUGAAGCAUUCCAUAUUUUU